rnacentral:rRNA from 1 species
GACGAACGCUGGCGGCGUGCCUAAUACAUGCAAGUCGAGCGCAGGAAACUGGCGGAACUCUUCGGAGGGAAGGCAGUGGAAUGAGCGGCGGACGGGUGAGUAACACGUAAGGAACCUGCCUCAAGGAUUGGGAUAACUCCGAGAAAUCGGAGCUAAUACCGGAUAGUUCGACGGACCGCAUGGUCCGCUGAUGAAAGGCGCUCCGGCGUCACCUUGAGAUGGCCUUGCGGUGCAUUAGCUAGUUGGUGGGGUAACGGCCCACCAAGGCGACGAUGCAUAGCCGACCUGAGAGGGUGAUCGGCCACACUGGGACUGAGACACGGCCCAGACUCCUACGGGAGGCAGCAGUAGGAAAUCUUCCACAAUGGACGAAAGUCUGAUGGAGCAACGCCGCGUGAGUGAUGAAGGUUUUCGGAUCGUAAAACUCUGUUGUAAGGGAAGAACACGUACGAGAGGGAAUGCUCGAACCUUGACGGUACCUUACGGGAAAGCCACGGCUAACUACGUGCCAGCAGCCGCCGUAA